GUUAAGCGACUAAGCGUACACGGUGGAUGCCCUGGCAGUCAGAGGCGAUGAAGGACGUGCUAAUCUGCGAUAAGCGUCGGUAAGGUGAUAUGAACCGUUAUAACCGGCGAUUUCCGAAUGGGGAAACCCAGUGUGAUUCGUCACACUAUCAUUAACUGAAUCCAUAGGUUAAUGAGGCGAACCGGGGGAACUGAAACAUCUAAGUACCCCGAGGAAAAGAAAUCAACCGAGAUUCCCCCAGUAGCGGCGAGCGAACGGGGAGCAGCCCAGAGCCUGAAUCAGUGUGUGUGUUAGUGGAAGCGUCUGGAAAGGCGCGCGAUACAGGGUGACAGCCCCGUACACAAAAAUGCACAUGCUGUGAGCUCGAUGAGUAGGGCGGGACACGUGGUAUCCUGUCUGAAUAUGGGGGGACCAUCCUCCAAGGCUAAAUACUCCUGACUGACCGAUAGUGAACCAGUACCGUGAGGGAAAGGCGAAAAGAACCCCGGCGAGGGGAGUGAAAAAGAACCUGAAACCGUGUACGUACAAGCAGUGGGAGCACGCUUAGGCGUGUGACUGCGUACCUUUUGUAUAAUGGGUCAGCGACUUAUAUUCUGUAGCAAGGUUAACCGAAUAGGGGAGCCGAAGGGAAACCGAGUCUUAACUGGGCGUUAAGUUGCAGGGUAUAGACCCGAAACCCGGUGAUCUAGCCAUGGGCAGGUUGAAGGUUGGGUAACACUAACUGGAGGACCGAACCGACUAAUGUUGAAAAAUUAGCGGAUGACUUGUGGCUGGGGGUGAAAGGCCAAUCAAACCGGGAGAUAGCUGGUUCUCCCCGAAAGCUAUUUAGGUAGCGCCUCGUGAAUUCAUCUCCGGGGGUAGAGCACUGUUUCGGCAAGGGGGUCAUCCCGACUUACCAACCCGAUGCAAACUACGAAUACCGGAGAAUGUUAUCACGGGAGACACACGGCGGGUGCUAACGUCCGUCGUGAAGAGGGAAACAACCCAGACCGCCAGCUAAGGUCCCAAAGUCAUGGUUAAGUGGGAAACGAUGUGGGAAGGCCCAGACAGCCAGGAUGUUGGCUUAGAAGCAGCCAUCAUUUAAAGAAAGCGUAAUAGCUCACUGGUCGAGUCGGCCUGCGCGGAAGAUGUAACGGGGCUAAACCAUGCACCGAAGCUGCGGCAGCGACGCUUAUGCGUUGUUGGGUAGGGGAGCGUUCUGUAAGCCUGCGAAGGUGUGCUGUGAGGCAUGCUGGAGGUAUCAGAAGUGCGAAUGCUGACAUAAGUAACGAUAAAGCGGGUGAAAAGCCCGCUCGCCGGAAGACCAAGGGUUCCUGUCCAACGUUAAUCGGGGCAGGGUGAGUCGACCCCUAAGGCGAGGCCGAAAGGCGUAGUCGAUGGGAAACAGGUUAAUAUUCCUGUACUUGGUGUUACUGCGAAGGGGGGACGGAGAAGGCUAUGUUGGCCGGGCGACGGUUGUCCCGGUUUAAGCGUGUAGGCUGGUUUUCCAGGCAAAUCCGGAAAAUCAAGGCUGAGGCGUGAUGACGAGGCACUACGGUGCUGAAGCAACAAAUGCCCUGCUUCCAGGAAAAGCCUCUAAGCAUCAGGUAACAUCAAAUCGUACCCCAAACCGACACAGGUGGUCAGGUAGAGAAUACCAAGGCGCUUGAGAGAACUCGGGUGAAGGAACUAGGCAAAAUGGUGCCGUAACUUCGGGAGAAGGCACGCUGAUAUGUAGGUGAAGUCCCUCGCGGAUGGAGCUGAAAUCAGUCGAAGAUACCAGCUGGCUGCAACUGUUUAUUAAAAACACAGCACUGUGCAAACACGAAAGUGGACGUAUACGGUGUGACGCCUGCCCGGUGC
rnacentral:rRNA from 1 species